rnacentral:SRP_RNA from 1 species
GCUGGGCGUGGUGGUGCAUGCCUGUAAUCCCAGCUACUUGGGAGGCUGAGGCAGGAGAAUUGCUUGAACCCGGGAGGCGGAGUUUGCGGUGAGCCAUGCGCCAUUGCACUCCAGCCUCGGCAACAAGAGUGAAACUCUGUCUCAAGNNNNNNNNNNUUUUUUUUGAGAUAGAGUCUUGCACUGUCACCUGGGCUGGAGUGCAAUGGCACAAUCUCAGCUCACUGCAACCUCCACCUCCCAGGUUAAAGCAAUUCUCCUGCCUCGG